AGUGAAAGUGAAAGUGUUUUCUGCUGGUAUAAAUAUCUGUAUAGUCACUGCGUGCUGAGGUAUAAACUGCUCUGUUUAGUCUCUGGACUCACAUUCUGCCUUUGACUUCGUCUUCAAGUUCAACAACAGAUAUGGGAGGAUCCUCCAGCUCACCCCCUCCACCCUCUCCAUUUUUCAGUGACCCAUGGAGGACAAUAAACUGGGGAGACAAACAGAGCGCUCUGCAGUAUGUAAAGGACUAUGAACCUCGGACUGAAGGCCGGCAGCUCAGGAUUCUUCUUCAUGGACCGGUUGGAGCUGGAAAGUCCAGUUUCAUCAACUCCGUUGAAAGUGUCUUAAGAGGCAGAAUGUGCACCAAGGCUUUGGCGGACAAUUCCUCUGGCCACAGUUUUACCAAAGAGGUAUGAAGACAUUUUGAU